rnacentral:misc_RNA from 1 species
UACGUAGGGGGCAAGCGUUGUCCGGAAUUAUUGGGCGUAAAGCGCGCGCAGGCGGCCGUUUAAGUCUCGUGUUUAAGCCCGGAGCUCAACUCCGGUACGCAUGGGAAACUGGAUGGCUUGAGUGCAGAAGAGGAGAGUGGAAUUCCACGUGUAGCGGUGAAAUGCGUAGAGAUGUGGAGGAACACCAGUGGCGAAGGCGAUUCUCUGGUCUGUAACUGACGCUGAGGUGCGAAAGCGUGGGGAGCGAACAGG